rnacentral:tRNA from 1 species
CAGAUUAAUCUUAAUAGUUGGGGUUUUCAUUUACAUUGAAUUUUGUGUUGUGCAAUUCAACAUUUUCUGA